rnacentral:misc_RNA from 1 species
AGAGUUAAAUAGUACGUGAAAUUGUUGAAAGGGAAACGAUUGAAGUUAGUCAUGCCGGCAGGAAUCAAUUUAGGAGAAACUCUGAGUGCACUUCUUCGCUUGGCAGGUUAGCGUCGAUUUUGGAUGUCAUAAAAUGAUUGGGGGAAGGUAGCUCCUUCGGGAGUGUUAUAGUCCUUGGUAGAUGUGAUGUCUGGGAUCGAGGAUCGCAACGGAUACCCUUCGGGCUAGUCACCUGAUUUCUAAUUGGUGUUGGGUUACGGAUAGCAUGCUGACCGUGAUCUAAUUACUGGUUAAAAGGUUAGAGUGUGCAUAAAUUCGUUAAGAACGCUGACGUAAUGGCUUUAAACGA